UACGUAGGGUGCAGGCGUUAAUCGGAAUUACUGGGCGUAAAGGGCUCGUAGGCGGCCGGCUAAGUCCGACGUGAAAUCCCCAGGCUUAACCUGGGAACUGCGUCGGAUACUGGCGGGCUUGAAUCCGGGAGAGGGAUGCGGAAUUCCAGGUGUAGCGGUGAAAUGCGUAGAUAUCUGGAGGAACACCGGUGGCGAAGGCGGCAUCCUGGACCGGCAUUGACGCUGAAUAGCGAAAGCCAGGGGAGCAAACGGG
rnacentral:rRNA from 1 species